GAAUCUUGCGCAAUGGGCGAAAGCCUGACGCAGCCAUGCCGCGUGAAUGAUGAAGGCCUUAGGGUUGUAAAGCUCUUUUACCAGGGAUGAUAAUGACAGUACCUGGAGAAUAAGCUCCGGCUAACUCCGUGCCAGCAGCCGCGGUAAUACGGAGGGAGCUAGCGUUGUUCGGAAUUACUGGGCGUAAAGCGCACGUAGGCGGCGACUCAAGUCAGAGGUGAAAGCCCGGGGCUCAACCCCGGAACUGCCUUUGAAACUAGGUUGCUAGAAUCUUGGAGAGGUCAGUGGAAUUCCGAGUGUAGAGGUGAAAUUCGUAGAUAUUCGGAAGAACACCAGUGGCGAAGGCGACUGACUGGACAAGUAUUGACGCUGAGGUGCGAAAGCGUGGGGAGCAAACAG
rnacentral:rRNA from 1 species